AUUGAACGCUGGCGGCAUGCCUUACACAUGCAAGUCGAACGGCAGCACGGGUGCUUGCACCUGGUGGCGAGUGGCGAACGGGUGAGUAAUACAUCGGAACAUGUCCUGUAGUGGGGGAUAGCCCGGCGAAAGCCGGAUUAAUACCGCAUACGAUCUACGGAUGAAAGCGGGGGACCUUCGGGCCUCGCGCUGUUGGGUUGGCCGAUGGCUGAUUAGCUCGUUGGUGGGGUAAAGGCCUAUCAAGGCGACGAUCAGUAGCUGGUCUGAGAGGACGACCAGCCACACUGGGACUGAGACACGGCCCAGACUCCUACGGGAGGCAGCAGUGGGGAAUUUUGGACAAUGGGCGAAAGCCUGAUCCAGCAAUGCCGCGUGUGUGAAGAAGGCCUUCGGGUUGUAAAGCACUUUUGUCCGGAAAGAAAUCCUUGGCCCUAAUACGGUCGGGGAAUGACGGUACCGGAAGAAUAAGCACCGGCUAACUACGUG
rnacentral:rRNA from 1 species